CACGUAGGGGACGAGCGUUGUCCGGAUUCAUUGGGCGUAAAGCGCGCGUAGGCGGCCCGGCAAGUCGGAUGUGAAAACCUGGGGCUCAACCCCAGGCGUGCACCCGAUACUCCCGGGCUGGAGGCAGGUAGGGGAGAUCGGAAUUCCUGGUGUAGCGGUGAAAUGCGCAGAUAUUAGGAGGAACACCGGUGGCGAAGGCGGCUACCUGGACAGUGACUGACGCUGAGACGCGAAAGCAUGGGUAGCAAACAGG
rnacentral:rRNA from 1 species